GUAUUAUAUAUAUAUAUAUAUUUGCCCACAUUCUAAUGACAUUCAGAGAUUGUGUGUAACAUAGAUCUGGAGGCACAAGGAGAGCACAUGAAGGGCAAUUCCUCAAUCUAUUAUUGUAUGAUAAAAAUUCCAGACCUACGGUAUGUGCACAAGUUGGAGACAUAAAGAUGACAAGCGUGCACAUGUCCCUAGUGGAACCAGCAGCAGCCUGCUCAAAUUUAUUUUUCAAUAAUGAUCCUUCCGCAGGUUCACCUACGGAAA
rnacentral:misc_RNA from 1 species